rnacentral:rRNA from 1 species
AGCAGGAUGUGAANUCCCCGGGCUCAACCUGGGAAUUGCGUUNUGAACUGGGUGGCUAGAGUGUNUCAGAGGGGGGUAGAAUUCCACGUGUAGCAGUGAAAUGCGUAGAGAUGUGGAGGAAUACCGAUGGCGAAGGCAGCCCCNUGGGAUAGCACUGACGUUCAUGCCCGAAAGCGUGGGUAGCAAACAGGAUUAGAUACCCUGGUAGUCCACGCCCUAAACGAUGUCGAUUAGCUGUUGGGCAACUUGAUUGCUUGGUAGCGAAGCUAACGCGUGAAAUCGACCGCCUGGGGAGUACGGUCGCAAGAUUAAAACUCAAAGGAAUUGACGGGGACCCGCACAAGCGGUGGAUGAUGUGGAUUAAUUCGAUGCAACGCGAAGAACCUUACCUGGUCUUGACAUGUACGGAACCUUCCGGAGACGGAAGGGUGCCUUCGGGAGCCGUAACACAGGUGCUGCAUGGCUGUCGUCAGCUCGUGUCGUGAGAUGUUGGGUUAAGUCCCGCAACGAGCGCAACCCUUGUCAUUAGUUGCCAUCAUUUGGUUGGGCACUCUAAUGAGACUGCCGGUGACAAGCCGGAGGAAGGUGGGGAUGACGUCAAGUCCUCAUGGCCCUUAUGACCAGGGCUUCACACGUCAUACAAUGGUCGGUACAGAGGGUAGCCAAGCCGCGGGGUGGAGCCAAUCCCAAAAAACCGAUCGUAGUCCGGAUUGCACUCUGCAACUCGAGUGCAUGAAGUCGGAAUCGCUAGUAAUCGCAGGUCAGCAUACUGCGGUGAAUACGUUCCCGGGUCUUGUACACACCGCCCGUCACACCAUGGGAGUGGGGGAUACCAGAAGCAGG